rnacentral:rRNA from 1 species
UACAGGAGGGGGCAAGCGUUAUUCGGAAUUAUUGGGCGUAAAGGGCGCGUAGGCGGCUUGGCAAGUGGAAGGUGAAAUCCCUCGGCUUAACCGAGGAACUGCCCUCCAAACUGCUUCGCUUGAGACCGGGAGAGGUGAGUGGAAUUCCCAGUGUAGCGGUGAAAUGCGUAGAUAUUGGGAGGAACACCAGUGGCGAAGGCGGCUCACUGGACCGGUACUGACGCUGAUGCGCGAAAGCGUGGGGAGCAAACGGG